rnacentral:rRNA from 1 species
UACGAAGGGGGCUAGCGUUGCUCGGAAUCACUGGGCGUAAAGCGCACGUAGGCGGCUUUCUAAGUCAGGGGUGAAAUCCUGGAGCUCAACUCCAGAACUGCCUUUGAUACUGGAGAGCUAGAGUCCGGAAGAGGUGAGUGGAACUGCGAGUGUAGAGGUGAAAUUCGUAGAUAUUCGCAAGAACACCAGUGGCGAAGGCGGCUCACUGGUCCGGUACUGACGCUGAGGCACGAAAGCCAGGGGAGCAAACGGG